AUCGUGUAGAUGAACUUCCGCUAAAUUUUCCCGUCUGUGGUGCAUCAGAAAUUUGGCAAUCAAAACAGGGGAAACAUAUUUUUAGUUGUAUGGUUCAACUUCCCAGACGUUUUAUGUAUACUCAUCCGCCGUUAUGGAUAUCAUACAAUGUAAUCUUCUUGUCAAGACCAAGCGAAAGGUAAAUGUUGUUAUUAUUUGCCAACAAAAGACCACAAACGAGAGAAUAUAUUCACUAAUCUGUGCUCUAACCUUGAUUUUAUUCAGUGGAAGAAUCGCUGGGUCGUUUUACGGCGUGUAAACCCAGGAUCUG